UCUGAAUCCACUAGAGAUAGUGGCGGCCUUCGGGACAGAGGAGACAGGUGGUGCAUGGUUGUCGUCAGCUCGUGUCGUGAGAUGUUGGGUUAAGUCCCGCAACGAGCGCAACCCUUAACUUUAGUUGCCAGCAAGUAAUGUUGGGCACUCUAGAGUGACUGCCGGUGACAAACCGGAGGAAGGUGGGGAUGACGUCAAAUCAUCAUGCCCCUUAUGACCUGGGCUACACACGUGCUACAAUGGGCAGAACAAAGGGCAGCGAAGCCGCGAGGCUAAGCCAAUCCCACAAAUCUGUUCUCAGUUCGGAUCGCAGUCUGCAACUCGACUGCGUGAAGCUGGAAUCGCUAGUAAUCGCGGAUCAGCAUGCCGCGGUGAAUACGUUCCCGGGCCUUGUACACACCGCCCGUCACACCACGAGAGUUUGUAACACCCGAAGUCGGUGAGGUAACCUUUUGGAGCCAGCCGCCGAAGGUGGGACAGAUGAUUGGGGUGAAGUCGUAACAAGGUAGCCGUAUCGGAAGGUGCGGCUGGAUCACCUCCUUU
rnacentral:rRNA from 1 species